GACGAACGCUGGCGGCGUGCUUAAUACAUGCAAGUCGAACGAGGGCUCCGGUGCUUGCACUGGAAGACCCGAGUGGCGAACGGGUGAGUAACACGUGACCAACCUGUCCAAGGGUGAGGGACGAACCCGGGGAAACCUGGGCUAAUACCGCAUGAUGUCAUCGGACCGCAUGAUCUGAUGAUCAAAGAGGGCCUCUGCUUGCAAGCUCUCGCCCAUGGAGGGGGUCGCGACGUAUCAGUUAGUUGGUGGGGUAAUGGCCUACCAAGACUACGACGCGUAGCGGAUCUGAGAGGAUGAUCCGUCACAUUGGGACUGAGAUACGGCCCAG
rnacentral:rRNA from 1 species